rnacentral:rRNA from 1 species
AGUGAACGCUGGCGGUAGGCCUAACACAUGCAAGUCGAACGGCAGCACAGUAAGAGCUUGCUCUUACGGGUGGCGAGUGGCGGACGGGUGAGGAAUACAUCGGAAUCUACUUUUUCGUGGGGGAUAACGUAGGGAAACUUACGCUAAUACCGCAUAUGACCUACGGGUGAAAGCAGGGGAUCUUCGGACCUUGCGCGAUUGAAUGAGCCGAUGUCGGAUUAGCUAGUUGGCGGGGUAAAGGCCCACCAAGGCGACGAUCCGUAGCUGGUCUGAGAGGAUGAUCAGCCACACUGGAACUGAGACACGGUCCAGACUCCUACGGGAGGCAGCAGUGGGGAAUAUUGGACAAUGGGCGCAAGCCUGAUCCAGCCAUACCGCGUGGGUGAAGAAGGCCUUCGGGUUGUAAAGCCCUAUUGUUGGGAAAGAAAAGCAGCAGGUUAAUACCCCGCUGUUCUGACGGUACCCAAAGAAUAAGCACCGGCUAACUUCGUG